GGUGAACGCUGGCGGCGUGCUUAACACAUGCAAGUCGAACGGAAAGGCCCAAGCUUGCUUGGGUACUCGAGUGGCGAACGGGUGAGUAACACGUGGGUGAUCUGCCCUGCACUUCGGGAUAAGCCUGGGAAACUGGGUCUAAUACCGGAUAGGACGAUGGUUUGGAUGCCAUUGUGGAAAGUUUUUUCGGUGUGGGAUGAGCUCGCGGCCUAUCAGCUUGUUGGCGGGGUAAUGGCCUACCAAGGCGUCGACGGGUAGCCGGCCUGAGAGGGUGUACGGCCACAUUGGGACUGAGAUACGGCCCAGACUCCUACGGGAGGCAGCAGUGGGGAAUAUUGCACAAUGGGCGCAAGCCUGAUGCAGCGACGCCGCGUGGGGGAUGACGGCCUUCGGGUUGUAAACUCCUGUCGCUAGGGACGAAGCGUUUUUGUGACGGUACCUGGAGAAGAAGCACCGGCUAACUACGUG
rnacentral:rRNA from 1 species